UAACAACGAUUGCACUUCUUAUUCGCUAAAAAUAUCCAUAAUAUAGUGUUAUUUUUAUUCAGAAAAGAAGAAACACUAAAUCUUAGGAGAAAAACAAAAAGAAGAAAGAACACAUCAGUGCAACAUAAUGCUGCGACUUUAGGCUGCAGAGAUAGUGCUUCUAUGCAGCACUGCCUACUGAAACAAACAUGGUCUACACAAGCCACUACCACAACAUCAAUGCAAAUAUACUUUGCCAUCAAUUCCUUCGUAAUAUUUUUUGAAAAAGGCACCCUUUCACACAAGCAACAGACUGCCAAUCAGCUUAUUUUGCCCUCAAAAAUUUGUAACUGACGAAGCAAGCACAGUAUGUUCGCAGUUUCAAUAAAAGACCAAAUGAAGUGAGGAUGAACCGCGUAAAGAAUAAGGGCGUUUUUUUAUCGGACAGAAUGAGGGCUCUUGUUCGGGCCGAACCCCAAAUUUUGCUCUUGAGAUCAACGAGGAGCUCCACCCUUCCUGUCCACUGCCUCCUCAUUGUACGGCGGCAACCCGAGGAGCAGCUUCUUAGGGCAACCCGGGAUCCUUUCUUGGCCUUCUUCCUCUUCCUUUGCCCCGCUCCUAAAAAAAAUCAAGAACGCUAAUCCUAAACAUUCAGAAAUUGAUGGAUGAGGAAAGGGAGAGGAAAAGGAAGAGGCAGUUCUUACCGGCUAGAAGCCGACGGAGGUGGGGAGGGACGCAGGAGAAGGCCGUUGUCGCCGCAGACCUCGCGUCGGAACUUUGCGUUGUCCACUUCGCCUCCUGGUCGCAUGAGAGAGGGAAUGGGGGAGUACUCCACGCGCCAGGGUGGGGAGUAGCCCUCGCUUCCGGGUAGUCCCUCCGGCACAAUCGCCGCCGCCGCCGCCGCAAUCCGAGGAUGGACUAGGGAGAGAGAAACAAUGUCGAUCCACCUUUUUUUUUGAGACAG
rnacentral:lncRNA from 1 species